rnacentral:rRNA from 1 species
AACGCUGGCGGCAGGCUUAACACAUGCAAGUCGAGCGCCCCGCAAGGGGAGCGGCAGACGGGUGAGUAACGCGUGGGAAUCUACCCUGAACUGCGGAAUAGCUCCGGGAAACUGGAAUUAAUACCGCAUGUGCCCUGAGGGGCAAAGAUUUAUCGGUUCAGGAUGAGCCCGCGUCCGAUUAGCUAGUUGGUGGGGUAAAGGCCUACCAAGGCGACGAUCGGUAGCUGGUCUAAGAGGAUGAUCAGCCACAUUGGGACUGAGACACGGCCCAAACUCCUACGGGAGGCAGCAGUGGGGAAUAUUGGACAAUGGGCGCAAGCCUGAUCCAGCCAUGCCGCGUGAGUGAUGAAGGCCCUAGGGUUGUAAAGCUCUUUCAGUGGGGACGAUAAUGACGGUACCCACAGAAGAAGCCCCGGCUAACUUCGUGCCAGCAGCCGCGGUAAUACGAAGGGGGCUAGCGUUGUUCGGAAUUACUGGGCGUAAAGCGCACGUAGGCGGACAUUUAAGUCAGGGGUGAAAUCCCGGGGCUCAACCCCGGAACUGCCUUUGAUACUGGGUGUCUUGAGUCCGGAAGAGGUGAGUGGAAUUGCG